GAUGAACGCCGGCGGUGUGCCUAAUACAUGCAAGUCGAACGCGUUGGCCUAAUUGAUUGAUGGUGCUUGCACCUGAUUGAUUUUGGUCGCCAACGAGUGGCGGACGGGUGAGUAACACGUAGGUAACCUGCCCAGAAGCGGGGGACAACAUUUGGAAACAGAUGCUAAUACCGCAUAACAGCGUUGUUCGCAUGAACAACGCUUAAAAGAUGGCUUCUCGCUAUCACUUCUGGAUGGACCUGCGGUGCAUUAGCUUGUUGGUGGGGUAACGGCCUACCAAGGCGAUGAUGCAUAGCCGAGUUGAGAGACUGAUCGGCCACAAUGGGACUGAGACACGGCCCAUACUCCUACGGGAGGCAGCAGUAGGGAAUCUUCCACAAUGGGCGCAAGCCUGAUGGAGCAACACCGCGUGAGUGAAGAAGGGUUUCGGCUCGUAAAGCUCUGUUGUUAAAGAAGAACACGUAUGAGAGUAACUGUUCAUACGUUGACGGUAUUUAACCAGAAAGUCACGGCUAACUACGUGC
rnacentral:rRNA from 1 species